rnacentral:rRNA from 1 species
UACGAAGGGGGCUAGCGUUGCUCGGAAUCACUGGGCGUAAAGCGCACGUAGGCGGACUCUUAAGUCGGUGGUGAAAUCCUGGAGCUCAACUCCAGAACUGCCUUCGAUACUGGGAGUCUCGAGUACGGGAGAGGUGAGUGGAACUCCGAGUGUAGAGGUGAAAUUCGUAGAUAUUCGGAAGAACACCAGUGGCGAAGGCGACUCACUGGCCCGUUACUGACGCUGAGGCGCGAAAGCGUGGGGAGCAAACAGG